rfam:Ipomoea nil DNA, scaffold: scaffold1407, cultivar: Tokyo-kokei standard.
GCUGCAGUGAUGAGGUUCUAACAUGUAAGAAGAUCCUACUUUGUGUUUGGAUCUUCAAUGAAAUUUACUUGUUACGCUUGGCUUCUGAGAACA